UGUCCCAGGUCUGGCUGCAGUUCCCAGGUCGGCUCGCUUGCCCCAAGUCUGGCUGCAGUUCCCAGGUUAUGAAAACUAAUUGAAAAUAAAACCGCCUGCGGGCCAGAUGAUUUUGGUUACGGCCUGGAUUUGGCCCGUGGACCGUAGGUGGUCGAACCCCGUCCUGGACGGCGGGCCUCAUUGUGUCCCUCCCCCCGUGUUUUAUAAGCGAUUUCCACCCAUGAAAGAAUCCAGACCCAACACGUCGCCUGUCCAUUCCCCUCCAAAGUGCUGGUAGAACUCAGCAGGUCAUCCAUCUGUGGUGGGAAACAGACGGAGCAGUGUUCCUAAUAUAAGCCCUCCUUGGCCCUGUCGAGAAUGCAGUGUCCAAUCUUGGGAUGGAAUGUAAGGUCUGAGCUGACCAGUCAUCGACAGAUCCCCCCCACCCAUUCCUCUGUCUUCUAACUGGCGAAAGGCAUUAGGAUUAAUCCGGAGUCACCGCUUCCCGUAUCUGGCCGUUCCCCCUCAACUCCGAAUGGUGGGAUCUCGCUCUCUGCCCUUGGACGUCCGCAAGGCUUCGGCUGUGGUAAACAAGGUCUUUUACUCGAUAACCCGCUGGAGCCAAGAUGUAUUCCAAUGAAAUAAAUGUAUUUUAUUAAGAUUAAAAAAUGUAGAUAGGC